AUCGAACGCUGGCGGCAGGCUUAACACAUGCAAGUCGAACGAGUGGCGGGCGGGUGAGUCAUGCUUGGGCAUCUUGCUUAUGGCGGGGGAUAACUACGGGAAACUGUAGCUAAUACCGAGUAACAUAGGCUGAGCCCAACUGGGAGUAGGUAGUUGGUGGGGUAAAGGCUCACCAAGCCGACGAUCUCUAGCUGGUCUGAGAGGAUGACCAGCCAGACUGGGACUGAGACACGGUCCAGACUCCUACGGGAGGCAGCAGUGGGGAAUAUUGCACAAUGGGCGAAAGCUUACGCAGCCAUGCCGCGUGAAUGAAGAAGGUCUUCGGGUUGUAAAGCACUUUCAGUUGGGAGGCGUUAACAACAGAAUAAGCACCGGCUAACUCCGUGCCAGCAGCCGCAGUAAUAC
rnacentral:rRNA from 1 species